GGAUGCAGCGGAGAGGUUGAAAGAAAGCUUUGGAUCAAAACAUUAUGCAGUUGGUUAUGUAUACAAUAAUUUGGGUGCAGCAUAUUUGGAAUUAGAUAGACCACAAUCUGCUGCCCAGGUUUUUGCAUAUGCAAAGGAUAUCAUGGAUGUUUCUCUUGGUCCUCAUCAUACAGAUACAAUUGAAGCAUGCCAAAACCUUUCAAAAGCAUAUGCUGCCAUGGGGAGCUAUCAGCUUGCUAUAAACUUUCAGGAGAAAGCAAUUGAGGCUUGGGAAGGCCAUGGUCCAAGCGCAGUAGAUGAACUUAAAGAAGCUCAUCGACUUCUUGAACAACUGAAGAAGAA
rnacentral:misc_RNA from 1 species